UAUAGAUUAUGAAGUGAUUAAUGCUUUUAUUUAUUAAGUAAUUUAAUGAAAUUUUUUAAUAUAUUUCACUGGAGGGGGGCCAGUGAAAUAAAUUAAAAAUUAAUUAAGUGUAAUAUAUAAAAGUACUUUUUGUAUCAUGGAUUUUUUAAUUUUUUUAAUAUAAACGUUUCUCGAAGAUAAAAGAUUUAUAUUUAUUGUUAUAAAAUGUUGAAUAAUUUUAUUAAAUUAAUUAUAGAACUGAAAGGGUUUACGGUUUUAUAAAUAUCUAGUUGCUUAAAAUUUAUAAAAUUACAUUAUUUAAUUAUUAUUAAAAUUAUUAAUUUAUGGAAUUUUAAAAUUCAGCGGGGUUAGCUGUUGAGUUAUCUUUUUACAAGUGAGGAUGAGGGGGAAUUUUUUUAGUUGAGCUUAGAAACAGCUUUAGUAAGUUAUAUUUUAAAUUUUUAAUUUAGUUUAUUUAUUUUGCUUUAACAUAAGAGGCUUAAUUUCAGAAUUAAAAUACGUUUUAUAAUAAUGAAUUUAUUAAUAGGAUGCGUUGAGAUAUAUUAAUUUUGUGGGGUUGAAAAAUAAAAUUCAACAAUAAAACAUCAGGCUGUUUAACAAAAACAUUUCUUUUAAGAUUUUUUAAAAAGUAUAGCCUGCCCACUGAUUAAAUUUAAAGGGCCGCGGUAUUUUGACCGUGCUAAGGUAGCAUAAUCAUUAGUCUCUUAAUUAGGGAAUAGUAUGAAUGGUUAAACUGUUGAUUGUUUUUAAUUUUUAAUUUUCUGAAAUUAAAUUUAAAGUGAAAAUGCUUUAUUGUUCUAUUUAGACGAUAAGACCCUAUAGAGUUUAACGACUACUAUUUACUUGGAUCUUGGGGGGGAGCUGAGUAUUUAGUAGUCGUUUAGUUGGGGCAACUUUUGAAUAAUAUUAACUUCUAGACAAUUAUAUUUUUUUAUAAAAAUCUUAAAUUUUAACAGUUAAAAAGUUACCUUAGGGAUAACAGCGUAAUUGUUUUUGAGAGUUCUAAUCGACAAAAUUGUUUGCGACCUCGAUGUUGAAYUAAGAUAUCUAGCUGGGGCAGUUCCUGGAAAAGAAAGUCUGUUCGACUAUUAAAUUCUUACAUGAUUUGAGUUCAAACCGGCGUAAGCCAGGUUGGUUUCUAUCUUUUAGUACUUUUUUUCUUUCUAGUACGAAAGGGCCGUUGUGAAGUUGGUUGUGC
rnacentral:rRNA from 1 species